rnacentral:rRNA from 1 species
AGCAGCCGCGGUAAUUCCAGCUCCAAUAGCGUAUAUUAAAGUUGUUGCAGUUAAAAAGCUCGUAGUUGAAUUUCGGGAUCAAGGAAUCGGUCAUGCCUCGGUAUGUACUGGUUUUAUUGGUUCUCACCUUCUAAAGAACCAUGAUGUCAUUCAUUUGAUGUUAUGGGGAAUUAGGACUGUUACCUUGAAAAAAUUAGAGUGUUUAAAGCAGGCUUACGCUUGAAUACAUUAGCAUGGAAUAAUGAAAUAGGACAUCAGAUUCUAUUUUGUUGGUUUCUAGGAUCGAUGUAAUGAUUAAUAGGGAUAGUUGGGGGCAUUAGUAUUCAAUUGUCAGAGGUGAAAUUCUUGGAUUUAUUGAAGACUAACUACUGCGAAAGCAUUUGCCAAGGAUGUUUUCAUUAAUCAAGAACGAAAGUUAGGGGAUCGAAGACGAUCAGAUACCGUCGUAGUCUUAACCAUAAACUAUGCCGACUAGGGAUCGGAUGAUGUUAUUUUUAGUGACUCAUUC